rnacentral:misc_RNA from 1 species
AACGCAAAUUGCACUUCUUGGUACUCCGAGGAGUAUGCUUGCUUGAGGGUUGGUCUACAAAAAAUCGUAAAUUUUUUUACGGAUCUGGGUUUUCCGAGUUUUCUCGACUUCGGUUGCCUAAAAUUUAUUUUGACAAUAAGGUAUCAAUUAGAAAUGUUCUAUCUUACAUAUUGUGAGUUCGUUAAUAAUUAUACCAAUUGUUGCUUCGCGUUAUUCAUCUAGUACCUUUGAUGAUUAGGUGAAAUAAUUCAAUUUUUAAUCCUACCUCAAGUCAAGUAAGGAUACCCGCUGAACUUAA